CUUCUUAGAGGGACUAUGAAUGUCAAUUCAUGGAAGUUUGAGGCAAUAACAGGUCUGUGAUGCCCUUAGAUGUUCUGGGCCGCACGCGUGCUACACUGAUGAAGGCAGCAAGUUAGUUCUCCUUGGCUGGAAUGUC
rnacentral:rRNA from 1 species